GAAUUCGCCCUUAGAGUUUGAUCCUGGCUCAGGACGAACGCUGGCGGCGCGCCUAACACAUGCAAGUCGAACGGAGUUUGAGAGAGCUUGCUUUUUCAAACUUAGUGGCGAACGGGUGAGUAACGCGUGAGUAACCUGCCCUGGAGUGGGGGACAACAGUUGGAAACGACUGCUAAUACCGCAUAAGCCCACAGUGCCGCAUGGCACAGCGGGAAAAGGAUUUAUUCGCUUCAGGAUGGACUCGCGUCCAAUUAGCUAGUUGGUGAGGUAACGGCCCACCAAGGCGACGAUUGGUAGCCGGACUGAGAGGUUGAACGGUCACAUUGGGACUGAGACACGGCCCAGACUCCUACGGGAGGCAGCAGUGGGGGAUAUUGCACAAUGGGGGAAACCCUGAUGCAGCGACGCCGCGUGGAGGAAGAAGGUUUUCGGAUUGUAAACUCCUGUCGUUAGGGACGAUAAUGACGGUACCUAACAAGAAAGCACCGGCUAACUACGUGCCAGCAGCCGCGGUAAAACGUAGGGUGCAAGCGUUGUCCGGAAUUACUGGGUGUAAAGGGAGCGCAGGCGGACCGGCAAGUUGGAAGUGAAAUCUAUGGGCUCAACCCAUAAAUUGCUUUCAAAACUGCUGGCCUUGAGUAGUGCAGAGGUAGGUGGAAUUCCCGGUGUAGCGGUGGAAUGCGUAGAUAUCGGGAGGAACACCAGUGGCGAAGGCGACCUACUGGGCACCAACUGACGCUGAGGCUCGAAAGCAUGGGUAGCAAACAGGAUUAGAUACCCUGGUAGUCCAUGCCGUAAACGAU
rnacentral:rRNA from 1 species